rnacentral:rRNA from 1 species
UACAGAGGGGGCAAGCGUUGUUCGGAAUUACUGGGCGUAAAGGGCGCGUAGGCGGCCUGUUAAGUCGAACGUGAAAUCCCUGGGCUCAACCCAGGAACUGCGUCCGAUACUGGCAGGCUUGAAUUCGGGAGAGGGAUGUGGAAUUCCAGGUGUAGCGGUGAAAUGCGCAGAUAUCGGGAGGAACACCGGUGGCGAAGGCGGUUCUCUGGGCCUUACCUGACGCUGAGGAGCGAAAGCGUGGGGAGCGAACAGG